rnacentral:rRNA from 1 species
GCCUUUCGAAAGAAAGAUUAAUACCUGAUGGUAUGAUGAGAUUGCAUGAUAGCAUCAUUAAAGAUUUAUCGGUGUACGAUGGGGAUGCGUUCCAUUAGGUAGUAGGCGGGGUAACGGCCCACCUAGCCAACGAUGGAUAGGGGUUCUGAGAGGAAGGUCCCCCACAUUGGAACUGAGACACGGCCCAAACUCCUACGGGAGGCAGCAGUGGGGAAUAUUGCACAAUGGGGGAAACCCUGAUGCAGCGACGCCGCGUGAGUGAUGAAGUAUUUCGGUAUGUAAAGCUCUAUCAGCAGGGAAGAUAAUGACGGUACCUGACUAAGAAGCACCGGCUAAAUACGUGCCAGCAGCCGCGGUAAUACGUAUGGUGCAAGCGUUAUCCGGAUUUACUGGGUGUAAAGGGUGCGUAGGUGGUGAGACAAGUCUGAAGUGAAAAUCCGGGGCUUAACCCCGGAACUGCUUUGGAAACUGCCUGACUAGAGUACAGGAGAGGUAAGUGGAAUUCCUAGUGUAGCGGUGAAAUGCGUAGAUAUUAGGAGGAACACCAGUGGCGAAGGCGACUUACUGGACUGCUACUGACACUGAGGCACGAAAGCGUGGGGAGCAAACAGGAUUAGAUACCCU